CAAAAGCUUUCGACAUAAUUAUUUUUAUGUGUAAACCAGGUAAAGCUAAGUACUUAAAGAGCCAUUGAUUUCAAUGGAAAAGAUUUGCGUUCGGGAACCCACUCUCCCAUUCAAAUACAUGGGACCCUGAAGUGCUCAUCUUUGGCUAGAUCGUUUCCCUAAAUCGCUUCCUUUUUCUGAAAGAGAAUGAUUAUUACGUCAUUUCGCUCGAAUUAACUUGGCUUUGACAUUUUAAAAAAUAUUUUUGUUUUUGUUUUGUUUUCCCUUGUAUCUUUCAGUGCAGGAGCAGAUCAAAUUACACCUCUUUGAACCCCCACCCCCCAGUGAAAGGCAGAUUAGUGCAGUUAUUAUUUUUUAAAUGAACAAAUCUUUAGAAAAUUCCCGCAGGAUAUAGAUUCAAGUGAUUUAACUUGCACAGCUAAAUCAAGCUUUAAAGGAUGUCUGGAUUUCAGUGCUUUCCAUUAUGAGAUGCAGAACUGUUCCUCUUUGAUUGACAGCGCUAUUAAAAUUACCUAUGUGAAAUAAUAUUUUAUAAUACUCAUUCCUUAUUCAGCACUAAGUGGAGAGCCUGUCCCGAAAAUACUGAGCAAUGUCCGUGAGUGAGAUAAAAGUGGGUUAACAGAAGCUUUGGUCAGGGCAUUGGUGGCCUGAAAGUUCAGGAUCACUACCACGUUGAAAAGAGGCUCGUAGCUUCAGACGUGCUACUUUCUUUUAUCCUCCAGGAUCUGGGAGAAGAUCAGAGAACCUACCAACUCAGGAGGAGAGCGCGCAAAAUGUAAGACACGAAAAGACAAACAAACCCCGUAUUUGGCCUGAGUUGCUUAAUUUGUGUCUCUCCACUGUUUUGUAGGACUGGGGAUAAGGGGGGGGGGGGCAUCGACAGCAUGUUUCCGUGGACUGAUGAGAACGGUCACCUCCCUCUCCAAGGACAGGAAUCAAGUCUACUUUCAAGCACCUCACCAAACCCGCCUCCUCACAACACCCCUCCUUUUCCUGACGGAAAGAAACAAGGGGGAGAAUCUGGGAGGACACGGACGGCUAGCUGCCCUGCUCUAGGCGCUCCCUGGCCCGUUAAGAUCUUAUCAGAGCGAAGUGGGAGGUGGGAACUGCCGAAGAUCUGCUUAGAGAACCGUGAAGAGCCAGCCCCACGGCCUUGCAGGCCGCCACGCUUGUACAAUGGGGCUCUAGGAGAUCUCGCUGGAGUGUGUGUGCACGUCGGAUAGUGGGAAGAGAAAUGGGGACAAAAUCAUAGGCCUGCCCGGAACCUGUGUGAAUAGAUUCCCUUGGCUACAUUUAGGCUGUCAUGACGGGGAGGCGUUUCCUGUAAGUCUCAUUGACCUCUAUGGAAUUUACUCCUGAAUAGAGACGCGAUAAGUCUGCAGUGGCGGGGAUUUGAUGAACAUUUUUAUAUAACCUUGUGAACUUCCUCUUCCUUACCAUCUUUCCUCUUUCAGUAAAUGCCCCCCCCCGCGGUCACCUUUGCCCAUCGACACCUACGAAUCUCCUUUCCCUUAAUUUAGGAUCUCUUCCAUAAGUAGAGACCCCUUCGUAGUUUGCUUUGAGAGAGCUCGGGCAUGCCACGAUAAUAUUCCUAACUAUCCGUCACAUUGAAGCGAACGAGGUCGCCAUUCGACGCUGCUCUCCAGCUCUCAAGGACCCUUUAGUUGCAAUUCAUUUGUGGACGGUGGAUUGUGGCCACCGUCUUUUCCGUUCGGGCUCGGCUGCCUCUGAGGUGCCCCUCGACACCCGCUUCUUCAGCGCCUGUCUUUUUCAUUCAUUUCUCCCUUCGGUCUGCAAGAUCUUCUCCUUUCGCUUUAGUUUGCUCAGUGACGGCUUUCUCCCGGUUCUUGAGCUUCAACCUCUCUCCCCCCCCCCCCCAGUCCUCCCGUGCUCAUUUAGAUCACC
ensembl:lncRNA